ensembl:lncRNA
GCCCCGUUCCCCAUUCCGCAACUGCGGCGAUACGAGAAAGCGGCGGCGAGGGCCCGCCUCAGCCGGGCAGCUGUGCGAUGCUCCCUGCUCACGCCUGCAAACGCUCCUUCCCCCGCUCGGCUCACCUCCUGGCGGAGCGCGAGAAGAAGACAUUGUGACAUUAAGCUGUGCUCGUAAUUGCCAUGUGUAAAAAUAUUUAUUUCGGAAAGUGUGCAUUCAGAGAAGUUAAAUCUGUCCUUGAUUAAUGAAGCUGUCUAGUCUGGGAAUGGAAGAUAAUAUGUGCAAAAUGGAGACUGAUCCCAUGAGCAUCUGGCACUGAAAGAUGGGAAAGGUACUGGGGAAUAAGGCUAGGGUGAAGACAGUGAAUACAAGAAGCCGGUGUAUUACACAGGAAACUGGGCCUGGAAAUAAAAUACCACAUCAUUUGGAAAAGGUGACAGCAAGAAAGAAAUUCAUGUUCUUUCUCACAGCCAGGUUGUUCUGUAAAACACUUCCCAUUGCUCAUUAGUGGGUGAGGAUUGUAACGUAACGCCUACAUCCUCUCAGAAACCUCUACACAUUAUUUCUAAAUUGCUACCUGUGGCAUAGAAAAAGUCCUCCUAAAACAGGCCUGAAACUCUAGGAAAUUCUAAAAAUUCUAAGUUCGUGGGAUUGGCUGGCUUAGAGGAUCUUUGAUUUCCCUGAGCAGGAAGAUUUUAGGGAUUUUAGGGUAUUUUACUGUUGGUUUUGUUUGUUUUGUUUGUUUGUUUGGCACCCAGAUCAAUGCCUCAGACAUGGUCAACUACCACUGUGUUGCCUUAGCCUGAGGAAAGAAAAAGGCCAGAGACUCAUUGCUGCCUUUUGCAUGAUUUAAUGGGAGAAGAUGAAGUCUUGAUCCUGUUUUCAUUAGUAUCAGUAACAAAAUCAAGAAGUGACUGAUACAUCAGCAGAAUGUUUUGAGUGUAGCAGAAUGCCUGACUUCAAGAGCAGAUGUUUGGGAUGGGAAAGAGAUGUAAAUCUAUGCUGAAAAAGGUG